rnacentral:rRNA from 1 species
GACGAACGCUGGCGGCGUGCUUAACACAUGCAAGUCGAACGGAAAGGCCCUGCUUUUGUGGGGUGCUCGAGUGGCGAACGGGUGAGUAACACGUGAGUAACCUGCCCUUGACUUUGGGAUAACUUCAGGAAACUGGGGCUAAUACCGGAUAGGAGCUCCUGCUGCAUGGUGGGGGUUGGAAAGUUUCGGCGGUUGGGAUGGACUCGCGGCUUAUCAGCUUGUUGGUGGGGUAGUGGCUUACCAAGGCUUUGACGGGUAGCCGGCCUGAGAGGGUGACCGGCCACAUUGGGACUGCGGUACGGCCCAGACUCCUACGGGAGGCAGCAGUGGGGAAUAUUGCACAAUGGGCGGAAGCCUGAUGCAGCAACGCCGCGUGCGGGAUGACGGCCUUCGGGUUGUAAACCGCUUUCGCCUGUGACGAAGCGUGAGUGACGGUAAUGGGUAAAGAAGCACCGGCUAACUACGUG